rnacentral:tRNA from 1 species
CCUUCGAUAGCUCAGUUGGUAGAGCGGAGGACUGUAGCGAGACUUGUUGUCAUCCUUAGGUCGCUGGUUCGAAUCCGGCUCGAAGGA